GGCAACGUGCUCAGGUCCCCUUCUACACUGUGGAAGCUUUGUUCUUUUGCUCUUCACAAUAAAUCUUGCUGCUGCUCACUCUUUGGGUCCGUGCCACCUUUAAGAGCUGUAACUCCACAAAGGUCCGUGGCUUCAUUCUUGAAGUCAGCAAGACCAAGAACUCACUGGAAGGAACCAACUCUGGACAAAUCUUGGCAACCACGAAGGGACUAUUGCCAAGCUGCCAAGCAGAUUGAGGCCAUCAAGCUACAGAUGGUCUUACAAAUGGAACCCCAAUGAGCUCAACUAACAACUUCUACUGAGGACCCCUGCACCAACCCGCUGGCCCUUUGACUGGCAUAAAGAGUUCCCCUCUGGAGGACACUACAACUGCAGGGCUCCUUCUUCAACCCAUCCAGCAGGAAGUAGCUACAGAGGUCAUUGCCCAAUUCCCAACAGCUCUUGGGGUGUCCUCUUUAGAGGGGGGAUUGAGAGGUGAAGCCAGCUAGACUUCCUGGGUUGAGUAGGGACUUGGAGAACUUUUCUGUCUAGCUAGAGGAUUGUAAAUGCACCAAUCAGUGCUCUGUGUCUAGCUGAAGGACUGUAAAUGCACCAAUCAGCACUCUGUAAAAACACACCAAUCAGUGCUCUGUGUCUAGCUAGAAGAUUGUAAAUGCACCAAUCAGCACUCUGUAAAAAUGCACCAAUCAACACUCUGUGUCUAGCUAAAGGAUUGUAAAUGCACCAAUCAGCAUUCUUUACAAUGGACCAAUCAGCGCUCUGUAAAAUGGACCAAGCAGCAGGAUGAGGGCAGUGACAAAUAAAUAAAUAAAAGCUGGCCACCCGAGCCAGCAGCAGCAACCCAGUCAGGUCCCCUUCCACGCUACGGAAGCUUUGUUCUUUCGCUCUUCACAAUAAAUCUUGCUGCUGCUCACUCUGGGUCUGUGCCACCUUGAAGAGCUGUAACACUCACCACAAAGGUCCGCGGCUUCAUUCUUGAAGUCAGUGAGGCCAAGAACCCACCGGAAGGAACCAACUCCGGACACAUGACCACUGAGAACUGUCUUCUCAAGGACCUGGGGGUUUGUCUCUUGAAUUGCAAGCCUUCAAGGAGGUGGUUCUCAUUCUCAUUCCCAGUCCCUGUGGCUACCUUGCUCUCUUACACCACUGCUUGUCAUGAAGACAGAAAAAUUAUGUCUCCUCUGGAUAAGCAUGGAUUAACACACCCAGAUGGCCUAGUUGCAGGACGAACCAACCCUUCACACUCCUCAGCACCUUUCCCUUAGCACACCACAGCCUCUAAAAAGCCUCCAAAUUUUUGUUUCAGCAAAGUUGUGUUCAGUUCAUGCUGGACCCAAUUCCCUAGCAAUAGUUUUCAUUAAAUAAAAUCUAAUUUACUGCUUUAA
rnacentral:lncRNA from 1 species